ACAUCUAAAAAAGGAAAUUUUAAAAACUAUUUUUGUCAAUGAAUAACUUCUUUUACACCGACUUCGUUGGUUCACAUACUAUAGUUAUCUAAAUCAACCUUAACAAAUGAUUAUUAAUAUCAUUCAGAUCUGAAAUAAUUACACUCAUGUACUCAUGAACAUGAUAAAAUUUCAACAUUACAACUUCCUUUGAUCUUCUCAUCCCCUAUGAAGAGUAAUAUGUAUCAUAGGAUAUCCUUAAUACAACAGUUUAAAAUUGCAACUUCUUAUCCAAAGUGGAGGUAGCUAUUUCGCUUUUUGCAUUCUGGGUACUAUGUUAGCUUGCUGCCAUUUCAUUAAUUUGACACCUGACAUAGCAUAGAGACAAAAUUAGUGAAUGGUUAGUGAACAUUGCAACAAUUUUCUAUAAUUUUAUUUGUAAGUUCUAAACAUUAGAGCUAUUCUCAUUUAUAGUUCUGUAAGUAUAAAGAAAAUGUUAUUCUAGUCUCACAAAAUAUUGAAACUUAUUGAGUAAUGUGCUAAAAAUAAAUUUACAUUAAAAUUUUCGUUAAUUAAAUACAACUCGAGGGAACCACAAUAUAUAUCCAACAUCCGUAUGUAAUCUAGAUAUAGAGGGAAAGGAAGUGUAGAAUCGCAUUUUAUCUUGAUUUCAUCAGAAUCUGAAAUAUAAACUAAUCAUUUCACUACAUUAGUCAGUUAUUUGUUAGAAUUUCCACUAAUGAGUUUGUAUGAAAAUUAUAUUAGCUUAUAUAAAAACUACAUGGAAGGAUUGUAUAAGCAAUUGACACUGAGAUAUAAAAUCAUAAUUUAAAGGUUAAACUCUAACAAACUAAGGAUAUCCUCAUAAUAUUUUGAAAGACUCAAAACAUGUAGUAUUUUGUUCCAAAAAAUAAACUUGUUUACUAAAUACCUCCGCCACUCUUCACUUUUUGACAGUAUAUCCCCUUUAGACACAUAAUAAGUCCGUUUGCUUUUCAAUUUCUACCUAGAACUCAUUUAUCAAAAGUAGAUCUAAGAGUUCUCUGAAAGCUGAUCAAAAUUUCCACACAGAGAUAUCAGAAAUAUAAAUACGUCUGUCGAAGCUCGAGAUAUGGGAAAAAACUUCUGAAUGAAACCGCCAUAAACUUUGCAUUAUUAAAUAAAAAUAAUGAGCUAAGCAAACAAUUGUGUCACAGUGAAUUACAGUAGCUCAAAAAAGAUGAUGAGAGAGUAUCACAUUACACCAUUACUGUGGCCAUAAAUUCAUUAAUUUGAAAAAAAGAUGUACCAAAAUAAGAUCUACAUGCCAGAAAAUGAAUUUACAUAUUUUACUCCACAAGGAGUCCCAUAGUUUCGUGCUUAGAUGAUGCGUUCGUAUAUGAAUUCUUUCUCCGUUGUUUGGAAGAUUAAAAUAUAUGAAGUUGUUCCGUAAAUUAUUUCAAUAAAAUAAAAGAGACAGAGAUGUUGUACCGGAAUAUUAAACUCGUAACCAAACACACACUUAACAGUUCUUAUAGUACAAUCAAGUUUGAUAUUUCCUCCUCUAUCCAACAUUCAAAGAUUUCUCCAAGUAAUUAAAUUUUUCUUAAUCAAUUCGUCAUUUCUGCAUAAAAUCUACCCUUUCCAAACUUCACUUUGUAAGAUUAUAACGGAUAUGUUGUUAUUGUUGACGCAAAAGUUCAAAGUUGCGUUUUGAAAGUCUCUUAUGUUUAACACUGGAUAAUGUACAUGUAAAAGAAAGUUAAAACAACUACAAAUACACAACUGUCCAUAAUAUAACACUUAUUAUAAAGUCUCUUAUGUUUAACACUGGAUAAUGUACAUGUAAAAGAAAGUUAAAACAACUAUAAAUACACAACUGUCCAUAAUAUAACACUUAUUAUGAAUCACAUGAGAAUAGUUAAUAAUUAUCAUAUGAAGUGGCCAAUAAACAACUUUCUUAAUCUAGUUGAAAUACAAUUAAGAAAUUGAUAACAAACUUGAAGCAAAAUUAUGAGAAAAAAUAAGAAUCUAAAUUGCUUGAAAGGCAAUUUAGAUAUAAAGCAAUCUAUCAGGUCUUGUGAAACUUGAUUUGUUUGUCUAUGACUUAGGUAAAAAGUAGUAGUAGAAUUCCAUACCUCUUAAAAUAAUAGAGAACUUUUGGGGAUCUUUCUCCUAAGACAUUAUAAAAAAAUUGAGUAAGGAAAAGUUUGUAAUUGAAAAAUAUUAGGUAUCACACCAAAGACAUAUCUAAACACAAACAAAAGAAGACUACCAAAAAAAACAUUGAGAUGUAGACCAUUCACUUGAACAUAUAUUUGUGUUACACGUCAGUUAUCAACUUGUCUACUUUGUAGUUAAUUGGAAGAAACAAUUUGAUAAGGACUUAAUUAGUCGAGUUCUUCGUCCUUUGAAAUCUCCAAAUUAAGCGAAUAAAAGUCUUUGUGGAUGAGUCAUCUUCACCACCCGUUCUCUAUUGGUCAUUGGAAUUGCUUAACUCUAUGGAAUUCAAAUAGAACAAAGAAUGGGAUCAAAGUUGAAAGGUAUGCAGAACGUCGGAAAAGGUUUAACAAUAUAAUAUUGCAAACUUGAUCAUUUCUUAGUUCUGAAUGAAAUUGUAAUUUGAAAGCAAACAAUACAGAAUAAAGAAGAGAAUUAGGAAUAUCAAAAGUCCAUAUCUUACCUCACAAUCUAGCCAGUAAUUAAUUGUGAUUCGUCACUGAAAUUCGAGUAAACCACUUCCUAAUAAGAAGUUGAUCUUGUUGAAUCUGGAAGUAUCGAAAGCCGAACAGUGAUUUGGUAGAUAUGGUGCAUUCAUCGGUUAUAAAAGUGACAUCCAUUUUUGUGGAGAACGUGAAAGUGGAAAAGAAAGUUAUUUUUGGAGUUGAUAACUUGCCAAAUUUAGAAAUUUAAAGUAGAUACAUAUUAAUAAAAAUACUAAAAAAAAAUUAGAAUAUUUUGAUAUAUCAAUUACCACAGAUAUUUAUUUUAUGAUUUUUUUGCUUAAAACAAAAAAAUUAUAUAAUGUGUAAAUUAGUACGUCUGGUAAUUUUUUAUUUAUUUUUCUUUUUCAUUUUCUUAAUGUGCAACUUGUAUGGGGAAGUUAAUGUAUAGAUUAGUAUAAUUUUUUCUUUCUAAUUAGUUUUUUCUUUUAAUAUUUAAAUUUAUUUUUUCUUGUUUAAAAAUAGAAAUUUUCUAAUGUUAAUACUUGUAAGUCCAGAAAUAUUUUCUCUCUCUUAUUACAUAUAAAAUAGAAUAGCGAUAGAAUAGAUACUUGUAAUUAAAAAUAGUUAUAUUUAUUGUAAACUAAAUAUUUUAUUUUAUGUAAAGUGAAAUUAUCCCUAAAUAUUAUGUAUCUGCAAGUUUUUAUUUUGUUUUUAAACAAUUAUGUAGUUGCUAUAAUAGCAUUGAUUUUAAAACAGCCAAAGUGCAGAUAAAUACUCAAACACUUGGCAGUCCUUUUUAAUAUUUUUUAAAAAUAUUUUGAUAGAGGUUUUAUGUUUUAAUCUCUCUCUUUAUAUAAUCUUAUUAGCGAGAUUAUUAAAUAUUAAAUUUUGUCUUAAAAUGACCAAAAUCUAAAAAAGAUACCGAGGUCAAAAAUUAUAAAAAAAAAAUAAAAAAAUAGGAGUUUCUUAAUUAAAUAAUAUUUGUUUAAAAGUUAUUCAAAAAUUAGUUAUUUAUUAAAAGCUUCAAAUAUGAAUUAAUUAAUUAAUUGUCAAAAUUUAAAUUUUCUAAGGAAAUUUUAAAAGUAAAAUUCAAAAAUAGGUAACUACUAACUAACCUAUCUACUUCUUGUCCUUUCAUUCUACCAGGAGAGUGAAGCAAGGGGAUUCUUUGUCCCCUGCUUUAUUCAUUCUAUCAGCAAGGUUCUAAGCAAGGCCUUAAAUUCCUUAUUUGAAGAUACUCAAUUUGUAGGGUAUGGUUUACCCAAGUGAAGUGCUAAUUCUCAUCAUCUUGCUUAUGUAGAUGACGCUACUAUAUUUGCUUCAACUAAUAAGUAUUCUUUGGAGAAAAUUAUUCAAUCAGGGCAGAAGGUAAAUAAGGAUAAGAGUUAUUAUUAUCUGCCUUGAAAUGCAGCAUCUAAUGUGAGACAAUUGGUGGAAGAGUAUACAGGUUUUACAAUAGGUCACUUUCCUUUAAUAUACUUAGGGUGUCCCAUAACCCAUGCUAGAAAAAGAAAAGAACAUUAUGCUGAUCUUAUCAAAUGGGUUAAGACAAAGUUACAAGCCUGGAAAGGAAAUCUAUUAUCAUAUGAAGACAAAGAGGUGUUGAUCACAAGUGUUUUACAAAGUGUUCCUAUACAUGUACUUUCUGCCAUAGUUCCCCCUAAGUGUGUUAUUAAGGAAUUGCACAAAAUCUUUGCUAAAUUCUUUUGGAGUAACAAGGUCACUGGAAGGAGCAAACAUUGGGCUGUUUGAGAUAAAGUUUGCUUGCCAAACAGGAAAAAGGACUGGAUUUUAAAUCUUUGUUUGAUGUCUCACAAUCCAUGUAUGCUAAGCUAUGGUGGAAAUUUAGAACAGAGAACACUUUAUGGGCUACAUUUUUAUGGAACAAGUAUUGAAAGAAAUAAUUACCUUCGUUGGUUAAGGGGAGGGGAGGUUCUCAAUAGUGAAAACAUAUGCUACAUAAUAGAAACUGCAUUGAACAACACCUAUGGUGAGAACCUAAGGGAGAUUCAGUAAAUAUUUGGUAUGAUAAUUGGACAAUGUUUGGUCCACUUUAUAAUCAUCAAUCAGAGGUGGUUUCUUGUCAUCCUUUGACAGAAAUUGGAGUAUUUAUGAAUAAAGCAGACUGGGACUAUGAGGAAAUGCAAAAUCACAUACCUGCCCACAUUGUGGAUCAUAUUAGAAAUCAUAUGGAUUAUGUCAGGCAAUUUGAGAUGAGGGAUAAACCUUGGUAGACUAAGACAAGUUCUGGAAAUUUUUUAGUAAAAAGUACAUGGGAAAUCUUGAGAAAAAAGGAUGAAGUUUCAAAUUUUUUUAAGAAGAUCUGGGUGAAAGGACUUUCUUUUAAAAUUUCAUUCUUUGGAUAAAGAGUAUGGACUAACAGGGUCCCUGUUGCAGCAAUUUUGGCUAUCUGAAACCCUAAUAUAUCUCAAGUUUGUUCUUGUUGUUCAGUACCAUCCAGAGAGACCAUGAAAUAUCCUUUUCUAAAUGAUGAAAUAGCUACCAAUGUUCGAAAUUAUGUGCCAAAUACAGCUGGUAUCAUUGGUCCGUGGAUUCAAGUAAAACAGACCAUGAAAAAGUGGUGGGAUACACAUGGAAAUGCUAGACAAAAGGUAAUCUUUCAUGCUAUUCCUAAUAUUGUUUUAUGGUUUAUAUGGAAAAGGAGAAACACAGUAUUACAUGGAGGAGUGUAUUCUAUAGGUAAUGUGUUGCAUGAUAUUAACACUACCCUUCAGAAGUUUAUCAAACUGAAGUUUCAAUAAACUGAGAUUCCUAGAACUUGGCCUUAUAUGGUAGCUCUGCUUGAUGGUUAUAGGCCAAGUUUUCAGUGCAAAUUUGUGAAAUGGUUACCACCACCAGUUGGUUUGUGGAAAUGUAACACAAAUGAGGCCUCAAGAGGUAAUCCAGGUGCUAGCUCUGUUGCUUUUUGUGUAAGAAAUAGUUAUGGUGAUUUAUUGGGUGCAAAGGGUUUGAAGAUUGUUGAUUCAACUAAUCUGGUGGUUGAGGCUAAGGCUGAGGCUGAGGCUGAGGCUGUGGCCGUUACAGAAGGUUUAAAGUUGGAAAAAUAAUUUCCUUAAUAUCAUCAUUGAAUCUGAUUCUUUGGCUUUAGGGCACAUUAUUAAUAGAGUUUGGGAAGUCCCGUGGAGUGUAACAAUGGAGGUCAAGUCCAUUAAAAGACUUAUCGAGGCUAUGUCAGUAAGAGUACAACACUCCUUGAGAGAGGGAAAUAUUCUUGCUGACUAUUUUGCUAACUUGGUUUUUGAUUUUGCAGGUACAGUUGAAUAUAGGAAUUUCGACGAAGUUCCAAUUAAAGAAAAAAGGAUUAUCAAUCUUGAUAAACUAAGUUUACCAAACAUGAGAAUCAGACACUUUGUUACAAAUUUCACAUCUUAAACAAUCAUACUUUCUGGUACACUUUUGUGAUAUGAAUACUAAUGUUGAGUUUAAAAGAUUGACUUAUUAAUGUACUUUGUGAAGUCUGAAGUAAUUUCGGUUGGUUACUAUACCAUGAACCUGGUGAGAGCUUUGAGGUGUUACGUAUGGUAUGAAACCAAGACUCACAAGUCAAUAUUAGGAGAUUUUUUAAUAUUCCGUUUAGUACUUAUACACUUAUGUCACAGAUCUUAUUAAUUCACUCUAGUUUUGAGGCUCUUCAUUUAAAAUGGUGGUAUUAACCUAUGUGGGUUCAAUCCGUAGAUUAGGGUGUUAGUACAGAUUUGCAGAGUUUUAGUUGUACCUCUAAUUUCCACUUGAAAAUUCUGGCUUGGUAUUUUGACUAGCAUGAGCAGAUGAAUCCUAAUAGCUUGAAACAGCUUGAUCCAACCUCAAAAUUUUUAAAAGUAGAUAUUUUUUUCGAGGAUUUAAAUGUCAAUAGUGGUAUCAAUCUUCAUUAGGGAUUCAACCCGUUGAAAUUUAGAUUUGAAAAAAGGAAUCUAAUUUACCGUAAUCACAAUACCUGAAAGCUGUGUUCAAGAGUCAAUGGUGGUGACGAGGUUGAACAGGUUCGAUGAGCAGCUCCGAUUAAUUUGAUUGACCAAUUUGGAAUGCAUAGGUGAAGAAGAAACACUUUGUAGCCGCUGGAGUCCUUUUUCGCAGCUCCGAUUCGUCUCCUCCCAAUAGUUUUGAGCUUGGAUGCGGUUCCUGUCAAUGAAGUUUUCUCUGAAAUUCUUGUGUCUGUUGAGUUUAUCUGCAGACAUUUCACUUUCCUAAUUAAUCAAUUAAUUAGGUACACUUAGUUUUUCUUUUUGCAUUGUUUGAUUUCCUUUUUGGACUCUGGUACGUUGGGCCAACAAUGUACAUUUUUAUUUGAUUAAUAAAGUGGCCCAUUGGGUCUUGAAUUAAAAAAAAUAAAUAAAAACUAUCUACUUGUUGUCCUAAAAUGACACAUUGUACACAUUGUGUUUUAUCAUGCUGCCACAUGGAUUACUGUGGAAGCUUUGUCCUCUCUCAUUAAUAAUAUAUAGAUAUAGAUAUUUAAAACUCAUAGUCAUGAAUAAAAUCAUUAUUUAUCAAUAUGGAGCUUCAACAGACCAACAAACCAAACACUUUAUUACUUCAAUUGUAUGCUAGAACUACACAUGUACUUAAAAUCCACAUAGCACCAUACCAUAUAUAAACAAAAUUAGUUAAUAAUUUGCUUUGGUCAUCAAAUUAUGCCUCUUUGCUGCUUCAAAACAAAAGUCAUGAAAUCAUUGUUUAGACACGUAAAUAGACUAAUAAAAUCAUACCCAUGGCUUUGCUGGAGAUACCGACGUCGAGAUAAAAUUUCUUCAGCAAAUUGAAGAUGCAGAUCUUGUAUGUAGAUUUUGUGGCCCUUUUGCCUAGUCCUACUUUUUGCCACUACUGACAGUGUUCUUUGGGAGAUUAUAUCCGGCCUUGAAACUUUUCUGUGUCGUAGCUUUCUCGACAACAAAUACCAAAACAAGAUUCGAAUUGGGUGUAUUAUUUUUCAGCAACCAUGAAAAUUCACAAAUUAAAUUGAAAAGACAAAGAAAUGAAAAAAAGAGAUGAAUAUAUUGGGCAAGAAAUGAAGGAGAAGAAGGUCUCUCAUGCAAGAGAAUGAUGUGAGCGAGAUCAACAAAAAUUCAUCAAAGGAAAAAAAGAAGAGCAUUUGGAGAUAUAUAAAAACUAAACAUUUUUUUUUUAGAUUUCGUGAACUUCAUUUUAGAAAUACAAACUGAUUUGCAGUUUUAACUUUUCAGUUUAGAAUUUUA
rnacentral:lncRNA from 1 species